rnacentral:rRNA from 1 species
AUUGAACGCUGGCGGCAGGCCUAACACAUGCAAGUCGAACGAGUGGCGGACGGGUGAGUAAUGUUUGGGGAUCUGGCCGAUGGAGGGGGAUAACUACGGGAAACUGUAGCUAAUACCGCUUACCAUCGGAUGAGCCCAUGUGGGAUUAGGUAGUGGGUGGGGUAAAGGCUCACCUAGCCGACGAUCUCUAGCUGGUCUGAGAGGAUGACCAGCCACACUGGGACUGAGACACGGCCCAGACUCCUACGGGAGGCAGCAGUGGGGAAUAUUGCACAAUGGGCGCAAGCCUGACACAGCCAUGCCGCGUGAAUGAAGAAGGCCUUAGGGUUGUAAAGUUCUUUCGGUAGGGAGGCGUUAACUGCAGAAGAAGCACCGGCUAACUCCGUGCCAGCAGCCGCGGUAAUAC